UACGUAUGGUGCAAGCGUUAUCCGGAUUUACUGGGUGUAAAGGGAGCGCAGGCGGCACGGCAAGCCUGAUGUGAAAGCCCGCGGCCCAACCGCGGGACUGCAUUGGGAACUACCGGGCUGGAGUGCCGGAGAGGUAGGCGGAAUUCCUAGUGUAGCGGUGAAAUGCGUAGGUAUAUGGAAGAACACCAGUGGCGAAAGCGGCUCUCUGGUCUGUAACUGACGCUGAGGUUCGAAAGCGUGGGUAGCAAACAGG
rnacentral:rRNA from 1 species